rnacentral:lncRNA from 1 species
UUUCUGAAACUCGCUAUGUCUGAAAACCAGUCACUUGGAACAUUCUGCAGGGCAAUCUCCAGCCUCCACUCUUGAGGAAGGAGAGGCAGUUGUGGAAGCCACACAGCCCGUGCCACAGCUCAGGAGCCCUGUGGACCUGAGGCUCGGAGACAUCGGCCCUGGCCUUAGGACCUACUCACUUAGGAAUCUCACAUUCUGGAUUCUUAUUUUGAACUCUGUCUUCCCAUUGCUCUAGGAACCAUCAUAAUCAUUUUGAAAACCACCAAGAGGAGAGCUGCCAACCAUCAACACCUGCUCCCCAGCAGAGCUGAGGUUUCUCUGCAGCCGCCUCCCUUUCAAGAGCAAGCCCAUGAUGUUGUCCUCAUCCGGAAGAUCCCUGCCUAUCCUGCCUGAAAACAGCCCAUUGAGAGCAAAGGAUGUGAGAACUGCAUGUGAACAUUCCAUCACAGAUCCUUAUUUUCAAGAUGAGGAAGUGCAGGCCCAGAGGGGCCCAGGACUGGCCCAUUCCCUUCGGUUCUGCUCUGACUUCCCAGCCCCGCACGCCAGCCCUCAACGUGUUACUCCAGAAAUGGGAUUAGAGGAGCUCGUCUGGAUUUUCCCUGAAAUCCCUUCUCCCUUUCCCGCCUUCCUGAUCAUAAAGUUGCAGUGAGUCGUGUCAGAGGACCGAGGCCUUGUCUCCCCAGCCGGCGUCCCUGGGACAAGAAUGAGAUUGCCAAAUGCCACUCUGAGCAUGGUUCAUGCAUCUGCCCGUUUCAUUCUCCCAGCUGCUCUGUGAGCGACUGCUUUUGGUAUCAUCUCAUUUAGGAAUGAGAAGAAACCAGGGCACGGGUACUUGGCACUCAAGGGCUUAGGUCCCACAGCUGGUAAGCAGAUGCAGGAGACUGGCUCUGGAGACUAAGCUCACCACCUUCUCCAGGGCUGUGGAUGGCAGCCGUGUGACCUGUCCCCUGCCCAGGAGACCACUGAAGAGCACACAGAUCAGGAGCCAGGAGGCCUCAGCCCUCACCUCAGCUCUUCACGCCCAUCGGCUACGAGACCCUCAGUAAGACCACGGGUGCCUCGACCCGGCUGGUGCACAAGGAGCACAGCCAUCAACGCCUCCCGACAGCGCUCACAGGUACACAUCCAGAUGGCCAGUUUCUGCCUUAACUGAUGACAUUCCACCACAAAAGAAGUGAAAAUGGCCUGUUCCUGCCUUAACUGAUGAUGACAUUACCUUAUGAACGUCCUUCUCCUGGCUCAUCCUGGCUCAAAAGCUCCCCUGCUGAGCACCUUGUGACUCCCACCCCUGCCUGCCAGAGAACAACCCCCCUUCUUCCUUUACCUACCCAAAUCUUAUAAAACAGCCCCACCCCUACCUCCCUUCGCUGACUCUCUUUUUGGACUCAGCCCGCCUGCAACCAGGUGAAAUAAACAGCCAUGUUGCUCCCACAAAGCCUGUUUGGUGGUCCUUUCACACGAACGUGCAUGAAAUUUGGUGCCGUGACUCAGAUCAGGGGACCUCCCUUAGGAGAUCAAUCCCCUGUCCUCCUGCUCUUUGCUCUGUGAGAAAGAUCCACCUACAACCUCGGGUCCUCAGACCGACCAGCCCAAGGAACAUCUCACCAAUUUUAAAUCCAGUAAGUGGCCUCUUUUUUACUCUCUUCUCCAACCUCCCUCACUAUCCCUCAACCUCUUUCUCCUUUCAAUCUUGGCGCCACCCUUCAAUCUCUCCCUUCUCUUAAUUUCAAUUCCUUUCAUUUCUUGUAGAGACAAAGGAGACACAUUUUAUCCAUUGACCCAAAACUCCGGCGCUGGUCACGGACUUGGGAAGGCAGCCUUCCCUUGGUGUUUAAUCAUUUAUGGGGACGCCUCUCUGAUUAUUCAUCCAUGUUCCACUGAUGUCUGAUCUCCGUGGGGAAGCCUGCCUUGGUCAUUCACCCACGUUCCCUUGGUGGCAGGUCAAUUGUGGGGACGCCUGCCUUGGCUGCUCCCCACAACCAAUUCUCCAUGCCUCUACCCUUCCCUUUAAACUUGCCUCCUUCACUAUGGGCAACUUUCCACCCUCCAUUCCUCCUUCUUCUCCCUUAGCCUAUGUUCUCAGGAACUUAAAACCUCUUCAACUCUCGCCUGACCUAAAAUCUAAGCGUCUUAUUUUCUUCUGCAACACCACUUGGCCCCAGUACAAACUUGACAAUGGCUCUAAAUGACCAGAAAACGGCACUUUCGAUUUCUCCAUCCUACAAGAUCUAAAUAAUUCUUGUCGUAAAAUAGGCAAACGGUCUGAAGUGCCUGACGUCCAGGCUUUCUUUCAUACAUCCCUAGUCUGUUCCCAAUGCAACUCAUCCCAAAUCUUCCUUCUUUCCCUCCCCUCAGUCCCAAUCCCAAGCGUUGCUGAGUCUUUCCUCUUUCCAAUCUUCCUUUUCUACAGACCCAUCUGACCCCUCCGCUCCUCCCCAGGCUGCUCCUCGCCAGACCGAGCUAGGUCCCAAUUCUUCAUCAGCCUCCGCUCCUCUACCCAAUAAUCCUUUUAUCACCUCCCCUCCUCACACCUGGUCUGACUUACAGUUUCGUUCCGUGACUAGCUCUCCCCCACCUGCCCAGCAAUUUCCUCUUAAAAAGGUGGCUGGAGCUAAAGGCAUAGUCAGGGUUAAUGCUCCUUUUCUUUACCCGACCUCUCCCAAAUCAGUUAGCGUUUAGGCUCUUUUUCAUCAAAUAUAAAAAUCCAGCCCAGUUCAUGGCUCGUUCGGCAGCAACCCUGAGAUGCUUUACAGCCCUAGACCCUGAAAGGUCAAAAGGUCAUCUUAUUCUCAAUAUACAUUUUAUUACCCAAUCCGCUCCCGACAUUAAAUAAAACUCCAAAAAUUAAAUUCCGGCCCUCAAACCCCACAGCAGGACUUAAUUGUACACCUCGCCUUCAAGGUGUACAAUAAUAAAGUAGAGGCAGCCAAGUAGCAAUGUAUUUCUGAGUUGCAAUUCCUUGCAUCCACUGUGAGACAAACCCCCGCCAUAUCUCCAGCACGCAAGAACUGGAACGCCUGAACCGCAGCUGCCAGGGUUUCCUCCAGGCCCGUUUACCCGAGAAGCUUGCUACAAGUGCCAGAAAUCUGGCCACCGGGCCAAGGAAUGCCCGCAACCCAGGAUUCCUCCUAAGCCGUGUCCCAUCUGUGCAGGACCCCACUGAAAAUCAGACUGUUCAACUCACCUGGCUGCCACUCCCAGAGCCCCUGGAACUCUGGCCCAAGGCUCUCUGACUCCUUCCCAAAUCUUCUCGGCUUAGCGCUUGAAGACUGACGCUGCCCGAUCACCUCAGAAGCCUCCUGGACCAUCACGGAUGCUGAGCUUCGGGUAACUCACAGUGGAAG